CGCGGCCGCUGGCCCGCGCUCUGUGUGCUCUCGUCGCCCCGCCGCCCCGCGUCUCCGCCGAUCGCAAUGGAAGAAGAAAUCGCCGCGCUGUCAUCGACAAUGGUUCCGGCAUGUGCAAAGCUGGCUUUGCCGGGGACGACGCUCCCCGAGCCGUGUUCCCCUCCCUCGUCGGGCGUCCCCGACACCAGGGCGUUAUGGUGGGCAUGGGUCAGAAGGACUCUUACGUGGGCGACGAGGCCCAGAGCAAGCGAGGCAUCCUGACCCUGAAGUAUCCCAUCGAGCAUGGCCUCGUCACCAGCUGGGACGAUAUGGAGAAGAUCUGGCACCACACGUUCUACAACGAACUGCGUGUGGCUCCCGAGGAGCAUCCGGUGCUGUUGACCGAGGCCCCCCCGAACCCUAAGGCCAACAGAGAGAAGAUGACUCAGAUCAUGUUUGAGACCUUCAACACCCCGGCCAUGUAUGUGGCCAUCCAGGCCGUGCUCUCCCUGUACGCGUCUGGUCGUACCACUGGUAUUGUCAUGGACUCUGGAGGCGGGGUCACACACACGGCGCCCAUCUACGAGGGCUACGCCCUCCCCCAUGCCAUCCUGCGUCUGGACCUGGCUGGCCGGGACCUGACAGACUACCUCAUGGAGAUCCUCACGGAACGUGGCUACAGCUUCACCACCACAGCUGAGCGGGAGAUUGUGCGUGACAUCAAGGAGAAGCUGUGCUACGUUGCCCUGGACUUCGAGCAGGAGAUGGCCACCGCCGCAUCCUCUUCCUCCCUGGAGAAGAGCUACGAGCUGCCUGAUGGCCAGGUGAUCACCAUUGGCAAUGAGCGGUUCCGGUGUCCAGAGGCGCUGGUCCAGCCCUCCUUCCUGGGCAUGGAAUCCUGCGGCAUCCACGAGACCACCUUCAACUCCAUCAUGAAGUGUGACGUCGACAUCCGCAAGGACCUGUACGCUAACACAGUGCUGUCUGGUGGCACCACCAUGCACCCGGGUAUUGCUGACAGGAUGCAGAAGGAGAUCACUGCCUUGGCGCCCAGCACCAUGAAGAUCAAGAUCAUUGCUCCCCCUGAGCGCAAGUACUCCGCGUGGAUCGGUGGCUCCACCCUGGCCUCUCUGUCCACCUUCCAGCAGAUGUGGAUCAGCAAGUAGGAGUACGAUGAGUCGGGCCCCUCCAUCGUCCACCGCAAAUGCUUCUAAACGGACUGCGAGCAGAUGCGUAGCAUUUGCUGCAUGAGUUAAUUCAUAAGUAUAAAUUUGCCCUGGCAAAUGUAUACACCUCAUGCUAGCCUCACAAAACUGGAAUAAGCCUUUGAAAAGAAAUUUGUCCUUGAAGCUUGUAUGAUAUCAGCACUGGAUCGUAGAACUUGUUGCUGAUUUUUGACCUUGUAUUCAAGUUAACUGUUCCCUUGGGUAUUAAUGUGUCAGAGCUGAGUAUUCCAGGAUUUCUCUAGAGAUUGGCAAGAGCCGAACAAGUUGUCAUUUCUGUCUUGCCAGCUGGUCUAACAGGGUUGGGAAGGUCCCAGCCUUAGGACCCAGUUUCCUAACUUUUCCUGCCAGAACACCGUGGGUUGUUACUUGCCUUGAGUUGGAAGCGGUUUGCAUUUACACCUGUAAAUUUAUUCAUCCUUUUAAUUUAUGUAAGGUUUUUGUACGCAAUUCUUAAUUCUUUAAAAGAUGACAACAGAUUUUGGUUUUCUACUGUUAUGUGAGAACAUUAGGCCCCAGCAACACGUCAUUGUGUAAGGAAAUAAAGUGCUGCAGUAAACUGAAAAAAAAAAAAAAAAAA